rnacentral:snRNA from 1 species
GGAAGUGAAGGUGAUCUGGCUUUGUUAUCUGUCACCUUGCUGAUCUCCAGGAUUGAUUCAGCUCAUCUGGCUGGUGAGGCAGGUGUAACCAUAUUCCCUCAGUGCCCCAUGUGUGUCCCUCCUGAAGCUCUGCACUCUGACAAGAGAACAACCACCCCAGACAGAGAAGCUUGGAGUUCCUGCUAGGACCUUUAAUAAAGCUCUCAAGAAAAAUAGUGAGAUAUUUAAGCUUCUGGAUGACUGACAAACGAGAGUCUGUUUAU